rnacentral:rRNA from 1 species
CGCUCCCUCUGGCGGCAGGCCUAACACAUGCAAGUCGAACGAACUCUUCGGAGUUAGUGGCGGACGGGUGAGUAACACGUGGGAACGUGCCUUUUGGUUCGGAAUAACUCAGGGAAACUUGUGCUAAUACCGAAUGUGCCCUUCGGGGGAAAGAUUUAUCGCCAUUAGAGCGGCCCGCGUCUGAUUAGCUAGUUGGUGAGGUAACGGCUCACCAAGGCGACGAUCAGUAGCUGGUCUGAGAGGAUGACCAGCCACACUGGGACUGAGACACGGCCCAGACUUCUACGGGAGGCAGAAGUGGGGAAUCUUGCGCAAUGGGCGAAAGCCUGACGCAGCCAUGCCGCGUGAAUGAUGAAGGUCUUAGGAUUGUAAAAUUCUUUCACCGGGUACGAUAAUGACGGGACCCGGAGAAGAAGCCCCGGCGAACGUCG